GAUGAACGCUGGCGGCGUGCCUAAUACAUGCAAGUCGAGCGAACAGACGAGGAGCUUGCUCCUCUGACGUUAGCGGCGGACGGGUGAGUAACACGUGGAUAACCUACCUAUAAGACUGGGAUAACUUCGGGAAACCGGAGCUAAUACCGGAUAACAUGUUGAACCGCAUGGUUCAACAGUGAAAGACGGUUUUGCUGUCACUUAUAGAUGGAUCCGCGCCGCAUUAGCUAGUUGGUAAGGUAACGGCUUACCAAGGCAACGAUGCGUAGCCGACCUGAGAGGGUGAUCGGCCACACUGGAACUGAGACACGGUCCAGACUCCUACGGGAGGCAGCAGUAGGGAAUCUUCCGCAAUGGGCGAAAGCCUGACGGAGCAACGCCGCGUGAGAGAAGAAGGUCUUCGGAUCGUAAAACUCUGUUAUUAGGGAAGAACAAAUGUGUAAGUAACUAUGCACGUCUUGACGGUACCUAAUCAGAAAGCCACGGCUAACUACGUG
rnacentral:rRNA from 1 species